rnacentral:lncRNA from 1 species
UUAUGUUGAAUUCAUAGGUUAGCCAUUAUACACAGUACUGCAAUGAACAUGGGAGUGUAAACAUCUCUUUGACACACUGAUUUCAAAUCUUUCAGGCUCUGCAAGAAGCAUGGCCCCAGCAUCUGCUUCUGGUGAGGCCUCAGGAAGCAUUCAGUUGUGGAGGAAGACAAAGGAGGAGCAGUUGCGCUAUACAGCAAAAGAGGAGGAGGCAGGAAAAGGAGGAGGAGAUCAGUAUUGGGAUAAGAAAAAUCAACUCAGUAUAACUGUCAAAACCAAAGAGAUUGAGUUG